GCGCGCGUAGCUCAGUUGGUUAGAGCGCUUGCUCGACACGCAAGAGGUCAGAGGUUCGAAUCCUCUCGCGCGCACCA
rnacentral:tRNA from 7 species